UCAUGCGAAACCGCUAACUUAUACAACGUAAGCCGGGUUCACACUAAAUGCGCAAAACGUUAUGCAAUGUUGCUACCAUGUUCGGCGCGUUUGGUGUGGACUUAGUCCGCGCACGAACAAGCAUGUUCGUUUGUUGGGGAUACUAUGGGAAAUGCGCGGUGUUUGGCGCUUUUUGUUUAUCUGGUUUGGACGAGAAAUGACCAGUGUCGCAUUGUUGCUGCUACGGUGAAUACGUAAAUGAGUCUCCCAAAAUCGGCGUCGUUUACGGUUUUUUUUAAUUUUAGAAAAAAAAUCAGAACAAAACAACAGCGAACUACUGUACUCUCUGAACGACACAAGCAAAUUGACGAAAACUGGAAAACGUAUGAUCAUGUUGAUACAACAUACAUUUCUACGCGCGGUAUGGACGCUUGUUCUCGCGAGAAUGUUUGCAGGCGAUAGAAUGUUGCAGCUAUGUUACAGCAACGUUGCACGAAGGUGCGCGUGGACCCGACUUAAUUCAGAACGCGACGUAUGAUUUGACACAUGAAACGUGAACUCCUUGAAUUUAAGUAUAUUAAGAGUUUUAGCAGUGUACAGUGUGCAUCUGUACAGCAGUGGUUUUCAACCUUUUUAACAAUGCGGCACACUUCAUCUCCAACAAACUUUUGACGGCACAUCAAUCCAUAUAUUAUGUGAACCAUAUUUUAUAUAUAUAUACUAUUUACUGUCUACUCUAUUAAAGGAUUGUUUAUUGUGAAAUAUAUUAAUACAGUCGAUCAAUCAAGACGGCUGCGACGGGCAUACUUACAAUAAAUAAUAUUAUAUGUAACUACAA